UAUGAAUGAGAAUUCAUUGGGUAUGCGGUAAAGAACAAAGCGUAUAGGUUUUAUGACCUAAACGCAAAAGUGAUCAUAAAGUCAAAUGAAGUUGACUUCUAUGAAAAUAAAUCCCCUUUUAAAUCGAGAAAUAGUGGGGGCAGCGAACCUAGUCAAGUUCCUGAGAAAUAGUGGGGGCAGCGAACUUAAUCAAGUUCAUGUGAAAAGAAGCA
rnacentral:lncRNA from 1 species